GCUUUAAAUAGAGAUCAAUGUGUUCCAGGCUGCCUGGAUUGUGGGGAUGUAUUCACCUUCUCGUAACUCUCCAAGCAAGCUGUCACACCUACAGAAUCACCAUUUGUUUUCUUAACAAAGCUUCAGGGGGCGCCAGGCUCUCAUUGAAAUUUCAUUAAUCUAAUGGAGUAAAGUCCUAUAGAAAAACAUCAAAUUCUCGUUGGACGAGAUGCUACCUGGGAAAGAUAACCUCUGUUUGAACUCUCAGACUCGGAUCGCUCUGCUAUUAGUCUGAGGAAACAGACAGCAACAACGCUGAUUACAGCCACCGGCCUCAACAAUUUUUUUUUCUAACUAGCAAUUUCGAGUGCAAGUGCCACAGUGUCAGCUAAAGAAACACAACUGCGGGUUUUCUGCAGAGCGAAAUGGUUCUGAAAUGUCACUGAAUAGCUCACAAAGGACGCCAAUCUACGACAACAGAGACAUAAGCAUAUAGGAGAAAGGGCCCACACAUCCGCCUUUCAAAGUGUGGAGAAAAGAGAGAGAAAGGGAGAGAGGAGUCAUGGACCCUACUUUCUGGUUGCCAUGGAUGCAAGGUCAGCCUUCCACACUUGGAUCUACCAGCAGAGUUCAGACAGGUCAACGUGUGACCGGCCCAGGCCCUGGGGUUAAAAGUUCAAGCAGCGAUGGAAAAACCAAUAUGUCCACGCAGAGGAGAAGCUAUUUGGGCAAGUUUCAUUUUCCUCAUCUGUAAAAUGGAGAUAAAAAUAAGACAUGUUCCUCAGGGGAUCUUUGUCAGGAUUAAAUGAGUUAAUAUAUGUAAUGCACUUACAGGAGUUCUUGGCAUAUAAUAAGAGCCGUAUGAAUGUUUGCUAUUACGAUUAUUACUUAUUUGAGCGAGUACCUCCUUGUUUGUAAGUACUUUGUGGCACAACCGCUUGAGCAAAAUGAACUUUCACAGGUUUCAUGAAGACAUGAAGAGUAUCAUUUUCUAAAAAAUGGAGAGCUCUCAUCAGGGGUAACUGAUGGUGUUUGGUCUGUUUCUUCCUCAAGAACUUAAAAAAAUAGAAGCAUUUUCUUCCCAAUUCAUGACAUUGCUUUCAGUAGAACAUUUAAAAAAGAAACUGCUGACUUCCAAAUUGCAAGCUUGUUUUAUGUAACACUUUGGACAGUGUAUCAUCUUACUAAGGCAAACAGCUGUAAGGAGUGGUCCCAAUCACUUGGCUACAAUAUUCAUAUUACAAAUAUUGUCAUUUUCCUUUUUCACUAUAUUUAAAAAAAAACUUCAGGAUCUUACUCAUGCCAGAAUAUAACUUUGUUAGAGCCUCUUGUUAAACUUAGAACAUAUGAGUUUCCUGCUGCUAACGUAAAUAAACAUUUUGAAUUCCCUGGUAAGCACUGCCUUGACAAUUCUCAAGUAAAUUUUCUAAGGGUAUAAAUUAUAUUCUUAACUUAAGGUGGCCUCUAAUAACUCAACCACCAGCUAAAGUUUAUAUGGACUCAAAAUCCUGCAUUCACAUAAAUCCUUGUUUGUAUAAGGAAGGAUCUAUGUACAUCGAUUGAAAUACAUACAUAUGUGUCAGGAUGUAUAUAUACAUAUAUGUCCACGUAUAUAGUCUCUUAAAACUGCCCAUCUACUUGUAAAUACAUAUUCAGAGACCAGGCAAGGCAAUCAAAUCAAUUUUCAAUAGCCAAGGAGAGACGUAUGACAUUUUUUAAUACCUGCUAUAGUGUCAUGCAACUCUUUAUUCUUUAUUAUCUCUGUCAGCUACUUCUAGGUGCCUAGUAGACAAAUGCUAGUCCUAGUCCUGACCAUUUAUUUCCAUUUGGAAUUAUUUCAAGCCUAACUCUCUAGAACUGCUUGGAAAUACUGUCCUGAUAUGUUGGCCUUGCACCUUUAAGUGAGACUGAAAUCAGGGGAGGUGGAGAGGAAUCCUUAGGCAGAGACAAUUUGGCACCAUUUUUUGAGGGAAGCCUGACUUGUUUUGCCUGCACUUGCACAAAUACAAGUUCAAAAGACCCUCUUUCCAUUCUGAGCAAUAUGUGUGUGUUGCCAGAAGCAGUGUCUUUUGUUGCCAGAAGCAGUUUUUGCUGCAUGCAUCAACUUUCACUAUAUUUUUAGCAACUCUUUCUUUUAUGCCAGUUCCAGACAUCAGUUAACAGAACCCCCUUAAAGAACAGAUGUACUGAAGAAAUGCAUCAAUUCGUUAUUUGUUAUAGUUUGGGGGUGUCUGUCCUAUGGGUUUUCUAGCCAAAGGCUUAUAUGUUUCCCAAGAGAAAUUUAACUUUCAUGAGAGAAGAAAAUUGAGGCAAAUCACUGCUGUUAGACCCCGAAGUCAGAGACACUGGUUUGUUGUCCUUCUGUACAUGUGAAGAAAAAGCCCACAGUUACAGAAACACCCAUGGUUCCAAUCCAUCUCUCAUUCUUUCUCAAUGUGAAAAAUUACAAAUGAAACCAAAUUUUUCUCUGUCAAUAGAAUGCGUAUGAUUACAGCUGUUCAUAUUUUCGCUCUAAUGAAGGGCUGCACAUUUAAUUGUAAGAUUUAUUAGAGACUGUACAUUGCUGUGUACAUGCACAACAGUUAAUCGGCAUCUAAAAUGCUGGUUGUUUAUUCUGACAUUAGUGAUCAUAUUUCUUAAUUUGAAACAAAAAGCAUUUGGGGAAAAAUAU